rnacentral:lncRNA from 1 species
GGGGAGAAAUGUCUUGGGAACUUUCCCAAAAUAUGUGAGUUUCAUUAAGGGAUAUUUACUCCUGCAUACCAAAGUUGAUUUAUUUCUGCUUCCUUCUAGGUCACUGGUCUCUCAUCUGUUCUUCUACAUUUUGCACUGUAACAUCAUUCCUUUUUUGCCUUUUCUCCAUCAUGUUAUGGUGACUUCAGAAACACCUCUCCAGGACUGAUUGUGGAACUUCAAUGGCACCCAGUCACAUUCACGAAGAAACAUCUCCUGAUAGUCGGAGAGAAUGGAAGCUGCUCACCCAUGGGUCAAGUCCUGUUACAAAGAACGCUGCUGCGGCCGAACCACCACCUCUGCGUGAUGAAAGGGCCUUUUGGCUAGAGCACCCACCUCUCAGAAAGCAACAGGACAACCAUUUACAGCUUCUAGCUACCGUUUCAUCUCCUUCCUUUCAUCUUGAUCACUUUCUGGAGCAGUAUUGCAUCUCAAUACGUGCAAUUCCCAGAGCCCCUUUCAGAAUAGCUCUUACUCUCCCAAACUGCACGGCGCUCCACAGAGCCCAUCCCUGUCUACGAAGAUUGCUGAAGCCUCCUUCAACCGUUAGAUUCAAAGGCAGCUGCUUAGCCCCGCCACCGCUUCUGGUUCUGUGAGCCGCACCUUCAUCCUGCCCUGGCCUGCACGCUCUCUGAGCACCUCACACAGUGCCUGGUAUGUCAUAGGAGCACACAGAGAAGUCGCCCACAGUGACAUGGCCUCUGAGGAAUGGUCUCAAACGGGCUGCCUGUUAUUUCUCUGACAGCCCGUCUAUACCUUCUCCUUCUCCCUUAAAUACCUCUGGAGCUUUAGCCUGCAUGUCUAAGCUCUCUGCCUAUUUGUACUCUCUCUCUCUGUCUCUGGAUUUAUCGUCAAUAUCCUCUAGCUACAGUUCUCUCUCUCAACCUCUACAGUUCCUCAUUUGAGCACCUCUGCUGCUCCUCAUCCCCAACCCACACACACACACACACACACACACACACACACACACACACACAAGGAAAUACACAGAGUAAAUACUUUUGCAGACUAUGUCCACCCAAGGAGUUAAAAGUUUUCUUCCCUUCAGGAAGCAACCUUGUCCCCUUUUCUGAUCACAUAGUUCCCUCUUCUGUUGACAGAUUAUGUAAAACUGACUUACCGAUUCUGAAGGACUUCGCCCUUCCAACCUCCUGGACCAAUGGUCAGCAAAUUGUUUUGUGAGGGGCCGGAUAGUAAAUAUUUUAGGCUUUGAGGGCUAUAGUCUCUGUGGCAACAACCCAACUCUAUGAUGUGAAGGCAGCCAUAGGCAAUGAGUAAAUGAAUGAAUGGGUGUGGCUGUGUUCCAAUAAAACUGUAUUUACGAAACA